rnacentral:rRNA from 1 species
AUGAGAGGGUUCGAGAGGAGAGGCGUCGGGCAGUACAACCGGUCGGACGAGCCGCGGAUGCGGUGGACGGAGGAGCUUCACCGGCAGUUCAUCGAGGCCGUGGACUGCCUCGGCGGCCAGGACGAGGCAACGCCAAAGCGAAUUCUUCAGCUGAUGGGCGCCAAGGGAGUCAGCAUAUCUCACGUCAAGAGCCAUCUCCAGAUGUACAGAUCAAGCUCUAGCAACACCAACAGCAACGGUGGUCCACCCAAUGCGUCCGUGGAUCGCCGCUGGGGUCACCGUGCCAUCGACACGUCGUGGAAUGGCCAUGGGAACGAUAUGGCGGCGGCUUCGGGCAGAAUCGACGCUUCUUCUUGCACCGUGCCUCCCCACGGCCACCGCUCGUCGCCGCCGUACCAAAUUCCGUCGAUCGAAGAGGUUCUCAAGAGCUGGGAGCAGAGUAGAGGGCGGCUGCCAUGGAACUCCAUCAUGCCAUCAGAGAAGGCGACCAGCUGGGCACGUCACGCUGACAGCAGAACACGUCAGAAGAGUCAGCAGCCGACGGCAGGAUGUGACCUGACGCUGUCGAUCGGCCGGUGCAAGGAGGAGGCCAUGGUCGUGAGCAGCGACGCCGACGUCUCGAGCACGACCACCGAAGAGUCUGCGGCCGUGCCGACGAGGGAUCGAGGAGCCGACGACCGCCACUCAGACACCGCUGGUCUGAACCUUGACCUGAACCUCGACCUCACUGUCUCAACUUCUUGGCUCUGA